rnacentral:lncRNA from 1 species
GUACAACUCAUACACAUAAGCCAACAUGUACAUAUUUGUAAGUAGUUGGCACAUACAUGAAUGAUGCACAUAAGAAACUAGUAUUUGUUGAGUUCACCUAAUUAUCAUAGGCAAUGUUCAAAUGGGUAAACUAAACCACCAACCAGCUAUUCAAAUGUGCAUAUAAAUACAUAUUUUUCUCCAUUAAAACCCUCCACAUAUUUAAGAUUCAUAGAAGUAAUACAACCUUAUAGUUAAACAACAAAAUGAUGCAGCAUGUUAAAUCACAUGUGAUGGUAGUUCUCUUGUUGAUGAUUUGUUACACGGGUAAGCUAUGGUUAUGAUAAUAUUUUUGCAUGUCACAUGUUUUAAAUAAACAUGCUAAUCAACAUCCUGGCUUUUGGAUUUUAAGGUGGGAAAAGGGAUAUCAAUGACAUCAAACCCUUUGAGAGUCCAUCACCAAAACAAUGUAGUCUACAAUGUUAUCCAAACAGAUAUGAAAAUAUGUUUUGUUGUUCAAAGGUAAAA